rfam:Ictidomys tridecemlineatus contig022029, whole genome shotgun sequence.
GGGGUUGUGGCUCAGAGGUAGAGCGCUUGCCUGGCAUGCUUGAGGUACUGGGUUCGAUCCUCAGGACCACA